GUACCGUCAUUAUCUUCCCUAGCGAAAGAGCUUUACAACCCUAAGGCCUUCUUCACUCACGCGGCAUGGCUGGAUCAGGCUUGCGCCCAUUGUCCAAUAUUCCCCA
rnacentral:rRNA from 1 species